UGUACAGAAGAGGCGUAGUGAGGCGUAGUGCUCACUGAAACACGUAGUAGGCCUUGAAUAAAAAUGUCUGUUUUGGGUGGGAAUUUUCUCGAAACAAAUUUUUUCAAAUUAUAUUUUAAAACGCAUCCAGCAUCUCGAGUCCAACAUCCCAGCUGCACGGUCCUCCACUUGAAGGAAGACCCUCCUCCACAGGCGGGUUGUGAGCCGUAGUCUCUCCGCGGCGACUGUCCCCGUCAUGAUCCCAGCGAUCAUAAAUAUUUAUGGAUUAUCAUAUACAGGCCAGAACAGAGACGCAAGGACACGCGGGUAAGUGGGACUGCAUCACGGAUCCAACACACUCCCCCGCGUCACACACGCAUGCGGCUCCCCAGGGCAUAUGCUGCACAACUUCCUGCAAACAUUUGUAAUCAUAUUCAGAUUCGUAUUUCACUGCGGCACCAGCACCAUGUCCCUUCGGGAAGGAGAGAACCUGGGGCAAGAACCCAUGAUCCCAUACCCAGCCGGUGAUCCUCAU